rnacentral:antisense_RNA from 1 species
CUUGAGCGAACCGAUCCACAGCGGACGCUCCGCGGGCCGGCCGCGCCCGUAGGUGUCCAGCAGGGCCCGCGCUUC